GAUGAACGCUGGCGGCGUGCCUAAUACAUGCAAGUCGAGCGAACAGACGAGGAGCUUGCUCCUCUGACGUUAGCGGCGGACGGGUGAGUAACACGUGGAUAACCUACCUAUAAGACUGGGAUAACUUCGGGAAACCGGAGCUAAUACCGGAUAAUAUAUUGAACCGCAUGGUUCAAUAGUGAAAGACGGUUUUGCUGUCACUUAUAGAUGGAUCCGCGCCGCAUAGCUAGUUGGUAAGGGAACGGCUUACCAAGGCGACGAUGCGUAGCCGACCUGAGAGGGUGAUCGGCCACACUGGAACUGAGACACGGUCCAGACUCCUACGGGAGGCAGCAGUAGGGAAUCUUCCGCAAUGGGCGAAAGCCUGACGGAGCAACGCCGCGUGAGUGAUGAAGGUCUUCGGAUCGUAAAACUCUGUUAUUAGGGAAGAACAAAUGUGUAAGUAACUAUGCACGUCUUGACGGUACCUAAUCAGAAAGCCACGGCUAACUACGUG
rnacentral:rRNA from 1 species